AUUGAACGCUAGCGGGAUGCUUUCCACAUGCACGUCGAACAAGUGGCGUACGGGUGCGUAAUAUAUCGGACCGUGCCCAGUAGCGGGGGAUAACUACUCGAAAGAGUGGCUCAUACCGCAUACUACUGGAACGGCCGAUAUCGGCUUAGCUAGUUGGUGGGGUAAAGGCUCACCAAGGCAACGAUCCGUAGCUGGUUUGAGAGGACGACCAGCCACACUGUGACUGAGACACGGCCCAGACUCCGACGGGAGGCAGCAGUGGGGAAUUUUGGACAAUGGGGGAAACCCUGAUCCAGCCAUCCCGCGUGUAUGAGAAGGCCUUCGGGUUGUAAAGUACUUUUGGCAGAGAAGCGGUAUCUGCAGAAUAAGCACCGGCUAACUACGUGCCAGCAGACGCGGUAAUUC
rnacentral:rRNA from 1 species